rnacentral:rRNA from 1 species
UACGAAGGGGGCUAGCGUUGCUCGGAAUCACUGGGCGUAAAGCGCACGUAGGCGGAUUCUUAAGUCAGGGGUGAAAUCCUGGAGCUCAACUCCAGAACUGCCUUUGAUACUGGGAGUCUCGAGUCCGGGAGAGGUGAGUGGAACUGCGAGUGUAGAGGUGAAAUUCGUAGAUAUUCGCAAGAACACCAGUGGCGAAGGCGGCUCACUGGCCCGGUACUGACGCUGAGGUGCGAAAGCGUGGGGAGCGAACAGG